rnacentral:misc_RNA from 1 species
UUUCCGUAGGUGAACCUGCGGAAGGAUCAUUAUUGUAUAACCGAGGUGCGAGGGCUGUCGCUGACCCGACAGGUCGUGCACGCCCGAGUGCCCUCACACACAUCGAUCUCACCCCUAUGUGCACCACCGCGUGGGUCCCCCUUUGGCUUGUUCGGAGGGGGGCUUACGUUUUCACACAAUCUUUGUAUGCAGUGUAGAAUGUAUUUUUUGUUUUUGCGAUCACGCAAUCGAUACAACUUUCAACAACGGAUCUCUUGGCUCUC